AUGAAAUAAUUUUUUUUUUUUAAACCUGUAAAUAAAGUCAAGCUUCAGAACGCAAAAUUAUAUAUCAUGACCAUAUGUAAGAAAGAAAAUUAAAUUUAUGACAAAAUCACCAAAAAUAGAAAUAAAAAUAGAAGUUGCAUUGUGAGCAAAACAAAUUGUAUGGGCAAAAACAUUUUGGGAAUGGCAUAAAAUGGCCCAAAGAAGAAUUGGAGUUAAAUUAUUGUACAAGCAAAAGAAAGAAAUAAGAGAACCAGAAAAGAUUCAUGUUGAAGGUCUCCCACUGGACAGGGCUUCCCACAUUGCCGACUCUAUGGAGAGUUAGAUGCAUGUAUGUGAGGAAAAUUAGAAAACAAAAAAGGGAGAAACUUAAUAAGGAUGCAUAUAAAAACUAUAUAUUAUGCAGCACUCUGGGGAUGAGAGUGGUUUCAAGUAAAGAUGAACUCAGUAACUUCUAUAAUAUUGGUAGAAAAUGAUCUGUAAACAUAGGAUAAGCUGGAACCAGUGUUGUUAGAAUGGAAAAAUUCUCGAUUCAAUUCAAGUCAAUUUCCCACCCUGAAAGUUCAAGUCCAGUGGCCGAAAUAUAAUUUACAUAAACCAAGGCCAAUUGGAGUGAAUCAAUUGUCUGUGAUUGAAACGAGUAUGAACUUGAUAGUAACUAUUAGUUCUUUCCUUAUUGAGUAAAACCCAAAUACUCAUCAGACCAAACAGACUCAAAACCUAAAACUUAACACGUUUCCUUUCAAUUCCGCCCUGAAAAGAGCACCAUAAAAGGACUUAUUUACACGUGCAUGCAUCUUCUCCUAUUCCCAUCCAAGUUUCUGCACUUCUCUUAGCACUUGAGCCAACAGUUGACUUACAACUCUAGAAAGAUAUUUUUCCUCCACAUCAACCCUUUGCCUCUCACCCUCUCUUUUUUUCUCUCUUUUCCCCUUCCUUCUCCGUUAACUACUGUUGUGAGUUGUUGUAUCGCACAUAAUCACAAAAUUCCUAUGCCCAUCUGGUGACAUGUAAUACCCAUAUUAUCAUUUUGAAGGUAAGCAUCUUUCCUAUUGACACAUAACAUUUUCCAAGGCAUUGGUUACAUUGAGAACUAAGAAGAUGUCAAAGGGUUCAAGUGGCCCUGCAUAUUUGGAGUAUAAAUUUAGAACUUGUAGUAUUUACCAUAAGCUAUUUUGCAAGCCAAAUAUCUUGUUUAAAAUAAACACUCAGUAGGUUGGCAAUCAUCAACAAGAAGAAACAAAACUGUGUAUUCAUUCUCAUCUUGAGAGUUGAGACUAAGCUUAAUGGGAUUUUGCUAUCCUGGUGCAAAACAUCUAUGCAAUACAAACUUAAAGCCUUUCCACUGCUGUUCUGUUCCGUUCCGUUCAUUUUUCCUAGUUGAUACAUCAAACAAUUCCAUCAGUAACCAUUAUAAUUUAACAGGAGUACAAGAAUUGUGAACAGAAACGCUUCUCUAGUUUUUUAGAAUGUAGGAAUGAUAUAGAAUACAACAGAGUAAAACAGAUAACAUGACAGUUGGAUCUAAUAUUUAAAGCCUCAUUUAAAAUGAUUCAGGCCAGAAGGAAUUCAAAUUCAGGAAGAUAACUAGUUUAGAUUGUUUGUAACAAAAACAUAUCUAGAAGUGAGAAUUAUUUUCAUAUCAAUCUUUAUAUGAAUGAAAUUAAGUGAAAAGUAUCCUAUAAUGUACAAUUUAUUGUCAACUCCACAGGAUUUAGACCAUAUUUUGGAUGUUUCGGAACUACAGAAGCAAUUAAUAUUUAGAAUGUACCAAAAAAUAAAGUUGAAUAUGCAUAAAAACAUAAGGUCAUAGAUUAAACAAACAUAUAACAUUAUAUAAAUAUGGCUUAAAUAAACCAUACCACAUAUGUGUUGGAUAUCAAGCAAAUGACCCAAAAAGCUCCUGACCCCUACGCACCCCGCCCUGUCCUGUCUGUGCAUUUGAAUAAACAUGCUGCAACCCCCGACCUGCCCCAUAAUUCCCAAGCAGUGACUGACGUGCAACUCCUAAUCCUCCAACUUGACGAGUUGGCACGAGACUCUGGCUCAUUGCACCAGCCAUUACCGGACUAAUUAUCCCAGUAGGACCAGGAGAAGCAGCAGCAGCAAGUGGGUUACCCAACAACCCUCCAUAAAGUGGAUUAAACCCAGGGUGCUGUCCAAACAAUGCGAAAUUCUGCGCUGCUGCUACUGCCGCCAACACCUGACCCUGCGGUAGUUGCUGUUGCUGUUGCUGUACCUGUACCUGCACCUGAUUAGUCUUGCUCUUCCCAUCCGUGGCUAUAGAGCAAUGCAACUGCUGACCCUCAAACACUUUGUGUGGUUCCUCCAGUGCCCUUUUAGCUCCCUCCACCGUCUUAUAAACGAACAAAGCAAACCCUCUCGACCUUCCCGUUUCUUUAUCAAAACCUGUCGGCCCAGACUCAAUUUCUCCAAACUUAGCAAAGAAAGCUUUAAACUUUUCUUUAUCAAUACUCCCUUGCACAUUACCCACAUAUAUCUUCCUAGCUCCAACAUCCUGAUUUUUAGCUCCGUUAACGGGCCCGACAGACGCCAAUUGGCAGUUGGCAAUCCGAUUAUUAAUAUUCUUCUUGGGAUCUUUUAACGCCAUAGCUGCACCUUUUCUCGUCUUGAACAAAACGAAACCGUACCCUUUAGCUUUCCCAGUGACUUUGUCCAUUACAACGUUGCAAUCCUCGAUUUCUCCAAAGGGUUCGAAUGCGGAGAGGAGUUUUUCACGCGUGAUGUCCCAGGUAAAACCGUGGACGAAGAUUUUCCUGUGGGACGCUUCCCGGUCCGCGUGUUCAUUGAUGAGGGGAUAAAGAGAGGGGUAUUUGGCAGCCGCGAGGGAGAGGAGUUCGAUGAGCUGGUCUUUGGUGUAGGGUUCAAGGAGAGUUGGGAGAUCAAUGGAGUCAGAAUCAAAAUUGGAAUUCUCAUCGGAAGCAGAAUCAGAAUCAGUGUGGGUGGUUUUGGGAGGAGGAGUUGGGAGGUGAGCUUUUAUAAUCUUUCGUUUCUUGAGUUUGGGUUUCUGGAGGGGAUUUUGAUCGGCGAUAAUAUCUGACUUUUUGAUGAGAACGGUUUUUUUGGGUUUUCACCAUUGGAGAGGGAGAGAGAAUCGCGCGCGACAGAGAAGGUGUGCUGCUCCUGGGUACUGUAACUGUGUAAGCUCAGACCAAUUUUAC
rnacentral:misc_RNA from 1 species